rnacentral:lncRNA from 1 species
UUCUCACACAACGAUGUCCUAGUUUAUUAAAACAAGAAAUCAUCAAUACAUGGAAAAUACCAUUCAACUGCAUAUACAUGAUCAAUAUAUAACAUACAGUGGGUCUGGAAUUAUUGACACCCUUGAUAAAGAUAAUAAUGACUGAAUAAAAUACAUCAAUAUAUAAAAUACAGUGGGUCUGGAAUUAUUGACACCCCUGAUAAAGAUAAUAAUGACUGUAUAAAUAAAUAAUUUAAAUACUGAGCUCUAUCAUCUGCUCAACAACAUGUGUCAAUUAUAUUAUUUUAUGUUAAUACGGUUGAUCUGAUUUAAAAUAUUUUGUUUAACAAGUAAUAUUUAUUUUCUAAAUUAUUGACCCCCCUAUAGAUUCUAAAGGUAUAAAUUAUUGACCCCCCUAUAGAUUCUAAAGGUCUAAAUUAUUGACCCCCUAUAGAUCCUAAAGGUCUAAAUUAUUGACCCCCCUAUAGAUUCUAAAGGUCUAAAUUAUUGACCCCCUAUAGAUUCUAAAGGUCUAAAUUAUUGACCCCCUAUAGAUUCUAAAGGUCUAUAUUAUUGACCCCCUAUAGAUUCUAAAGGUAUAAAUUAUUGACCCCCUAUAGAUUCUAAAGGUCUAAUUUAUUGACCCCCUAUAGAUUCUAAAGGUCUAAAUUAUUGACCCCCUAUAGAUUCUAAAGGUCUAAAUUAUUGACCCCCUAUAGAUUCUAAAGGUCUAAAUUAUUGACCCCCUAUAGAUUCUAAAGGUAUAAAUUAUUGACCCCCUAUAGAUUCUAAAGGUAUAAAUUAUUGACCCCCUAUAGAUUCUAGUAAUUAAAGUAGUCAGGAGGUCAGUAUUUGGUUCUAUAGUCAUAGUAAUGACAUCAUCAAACUCCUGGAGAUUUUGGGCUGUCAAUCAUUUUGACCCCUAACUUAAAAAAUAUAUAUAUUUCUCUCAGCAAUUGUAUUAGUUUAAAAUAAUAUAAUUAGUUUAUAAUAAUAUACUAUAAUUUAUGUUGAGCAAUAGGUCAGUAUUUGAUUUAUUUAAUAUAGUCAUUAUUGCUAAUCUUUAGCAAGGAUGUCAAUAAUUUCUGACCCCUCUGUAUAUUCUCAAGGCGAAUAUUAAAAAAGUAGAGCAAAAAUAAACACUUCACAAAGUUAAAUAAAAAACUGGCACAUUGACAUGAAGCUACAAUAGAAGCUGACAGGUUGAAGCUACAAUAGAAGCUGACAGGUCGAAGCUACAAUAGAAGCUGACAGGUAGAAGCUACAAUAGAAGCUGACAGGUUGAAGCUACAAUAGAAGCUGACAGGUUGAAGCUACAAUAGAAGCUGACAGGUAGAAGCUACAAUAGAAGCUGACAGGUAGAAGCUACAAUAGAAGCUGACAGGUUGAAGCUACAAUAGAAGCUGACAGGUUGAAGCUACAAUAGAAGCUGACAGGUUGAAGCCACAAUAGAAGCUGACAGGUUGAAGCUACAAUAGAAGCUGACAGGUUGAAGCUAAAACAGAAAUAUAAACAUUUCAACAAAUGGUUUUAUCAGUCUUGUUCACAGGAGGCUGCUGAGGGGAGGAGCCUCAUUAUAACGUCUGGAACGGAGCCAAUGGAACAGCAUCAAACAUGGAAACCAUGGAAACCACAUGUUUGAUGUAUUUGAUACCAUUCCACUGAUUCCUCUUCAGCCAUUACCACGAGCCCCUCCUCCCUAAUUAAGGUGCCACCAGCCUCCUGUGGUCCUGUUGAUAUACCUGUGAUUAUCAGGUACUGGACAUAAGAGGGUCUGUAACAGAUUCUAACAGGAGACCUUAGUCCAUCGUUCCAUUCAAUUCAACACUAUCAAUACCUGAGGGGGAUUAGAAAGACAUUGUUUAUGGGGAACACAUAUAUAGAAUAACCAGGAAAUGGAUAUAAACCCAUAAUACAAACAUGGGUAGUAAAACUUCUAAAAGUAAAGAACUAACUACUGGAAGUGGAUUAUAGAGGAGUGACCAACACGUUGAUCAGAGGACUCUGUCUCACCAAGAUUCAUAUCACUCAGUUAUAUACUCAGAAACUCAGCUUUGUUAGGUGGGAUAGGUCUCUAUAGAAAGUUACUGUCUCUCUAUAGUAACUCAGCUCUAUAGUUAUAGUCUCUCUAUAGUAACUCAGCUCUAUAGUUAUAGUCUCUCUAUAGUAACUCAGCUCUAUAGUUAUAGUCUCUAUAGUAACUCAGCUCUAUAGUUAUAGUCUCUCUAUAGUAACUCAGCUCUAUAGUUAUAGUCUCUCUAUAGUAACUCAGCUCUAUAGUUAUAGUCUCUCUAUAGUAAAUCAGCUCUAUAGUUAUAGUCUCUCUAUAGUAACUCAGCUCUAUAGUUAUAGUCUCUCUAUAGUAACUCAGCUCUAUAGUUAUAGUCUCUCUAUAGUAACUCAGCUCUAUAGUUAUAGUCUCUCUAUAGUAACUCAGCUCUA